rnacentral:rRNA from 1 species
AGCAGCCGCGGUAAUUCCAGCUCCAAUAGCGUAUAUUAAAGUUGUUGCAGUUAAAAAGCUCGUAGUUGAAUUUCGGGGUUCUACCGUUGGUCGGGCUUUGUCUGUACUGGCGUGUAGAAUUUCUACCUUCUGGGGAACCAUCAUGUUAUUAAUUUAACGUGGUGGGAAACCAGGACCUUUACCUUGAAAAAAUUAGAGUGUUCAAAGCAGGCUUAUGUCUGAAUACAUUAGCAUGGAACAAUAAAAUAGGACGGUGGUCCUGUUUUGUUGGUUUCUGAAUCACCGUAAUGAUUAAUAGGGAUAGUUGGGGGCAUUAGUAUUCAAUUGUCAGAGGUGAAAUUCUUGGAUUUAU